GAUGAACGCUAGCGGCAGGCCUAACACAUGCAAGUCGAGGGGUAACAUAGAAAAGCUUGCUUUUCUGAUGACGACCGGCGCACGGGUGCGUAACGCGUAUACAACCUACCUUUUAGCGGGGAAUAGCCCAGGGAAACUUGGAUUAAUGCCUCAUAGUAUAUAAGCUUCUCCUGAAGUUUAUAUUAAACAUUUAUGGCUAUUAGAUGGGUAUGCGUCCUAUUAGUUAGUUGGUAAGGUAACGGCUUACCAAGGCAGCGAUAGGUAGGGGUCCUGAGAGGGAGAUCCCCACACUGGUACUGAGACACGGACCAGACUCCUACGGGAGGCAGCAGUGAGGAAUAUUGGACAAUGGGCGAGAGCCUGAUCCAGCCAUGCCGCGUGCAGGAAGACUGCCCUAUGGGUUGUAAACUGCUUUUACAGAGGAAGAACCACCCCCACGUGUGGGGGUUUGACGGUACUCUGCGAAUAAGGAUCGGCUAACUCCGCG
rnacentral:rRNA from 1 species